rnacentral:misc_RNA from 1 species
GAUGAAGAACGUAGCGAAAUGCGAUAAGUAAUGUGAAUUGCAGAAUUCAGUGAAUCAUCGAAUCUUUGAACGCACAUUGCGCCCGUCAGUAUUCUGGCGGGCAUGCCUGUUCGAGCGUCAUUACGCCCCUCAAGUCCCCUGUGGACUUGGUGUUGGGGAUCGGCGAGGCUGGUUUUCCUGCACAGCCGUCCCUUAAAUUAAUUGGCGGUCUCGCCGUGGCCCUCCUCUGCGCAGUAGUAAAACACUCGCAACAGGAGCCCGGCGCGGUCCACUGCCGUAAAACCCCCCAACUUUUUAUAGUUGACCUCGAAUCAGGUAGGACUACCCGCUGAACUUAAGCAUAUCAAUAAGCGGAGGA